AUUGAACGCUGGCGGCAGGCCUAACACAUGCAAGUCGAACGGUAACAGAAAGCAGCUUGCUGCUUUGCUGACGAGUGGCGGACGGGUGAGUAAUGUCUGGGAAACUGCCUGAUGGAGGGGGAUAACUACUGGAAACGGUAGCUAAUACCGCAUAACGUCGCAAGACCAAAGAGGGGGACCUUCGGGCCUCUUGCCAUCGGAUGUGCCCAGAUGGGAUUAGCUAGUAGGUGGGGUAACGGCUCACCUAGGCGACGAUCCCUAGCUGGUCUGAGAGGAUGACCAGCCACACUGGAACUGAGACACGGUCCAGACUCCUACGGGAGGCAGCAGUGGGGAAUAUUGCACAAUGGGCGAAAGCCUGAUGCAGCCAUGCCGCGUGUAUGAAGAAGGCCUUCGGGUUGUAAAGUACUGUCAGCGGGGAGGAAGGGAGUAAAGUUAAUACCUUUGCUCAUUGACGUUACCCGCAGAAGAAGCACCGGCUAACUCCGUG
rnacentral:rRNA from 1 species